rnacentral:rRNA from 1 species
AACGAACGCUGGCGGCAGGCCUAACACAUGCAAGUCGAGCGAGGACUUCGGUUCUAGCGGCGGACGGGUGAGUAACGCGUGGGAAUGUGCCCUUCUCUACGGAAUAGCCCUGGGAAACUGGGAGUAAUACCGUAUACGCCCUAUUGGGGAAAGAUUUAUCGGAGAAGGAUCAGCCCGCGUUGGAUUAGGUAGUUGGUGGGGUAAUGGCCUACCAAGCCGACGAUCCAUAGCUGGUUUGAGAGGAUGAUCAGCCACACUGGGACUGAGACACGGCCCAGACUCCUACGGGAGGCAGCAGUGGGGAAUCGUAGACAAUGGGGGCAACCCUGAUCUAGCCAGGCCGCGUGAGUGAUGAAGGCCUUAGGGUUGUAAAGCGCUUUCAGCUGGGAAGAUAAUGACGGUACCAGCAGAAGAAGCCACGGCUAACUCCGUG